UUACCUCUGUAGGCUGGGCAGCCCCCAGGUUGGGCUGGGUGAGUAUCUCUUCGAAAGGCUCACCCUCAAGCACGACUAGGAGC
rnacentral:pre_miRNA from 1 species